CCUUUUCCCAAUUUUCUCCAAACCCGAGAAACAUAACAUCAAAAUUCUCUCUUUUUAUCCCAAAAAUAUAUUAGGUUUUGUUAAAUGGAAUGGAGUUUCUGCCAAAAUUCUUUCAAUUUGUCGAUUUGGAGCCGAUGCAAUCUCAAUCGGCGAUGAAGGCCCUAGUAAGCAAGCAUCUUAAUUACAUCUAUGGAGAUUAAGGGUUGGAGAUUACCCUAAAACCUAGUUCAGUGCGUUGGAUAUGGAUAACAAAAUUUGGAGUCUUAAGAAUCUAUCCACAAAUAAAGUGCAGAUCAGCAAGUCUAACAACUAAAAGUAUUGAAGAACAAGUGGAAGACUAGCGAUACAAUUGUAUAUUUUUAUCAAGAGUUGCUAAAUAUGUUUCCAUUGCUACCUAUUUUUGUAUUUUAUGUUUUUAAUAAAUGUUAUAAAGUUGACAGAUAUACUUUUGAUGAUAUAAUAAUUUAGUUCUUUGGAAUUUUCUAUGAAUCUUUAUAUGAAAUAAUAUUUCUCGUAAAA